rnacentral:rRNA from 1 species
CUACCCUGAUGUGGGGAAUAACCCCUCGAAAGAGGAGCUAAUACCGCAUAAGCUCUCUCUUGAUAGAGAGAGAGGAAACCUUGGUUGUGACAAACCUGGGGCAACAGGAUGAGGCUGCGGCGGAUUAGCUAGAUGGUGGGGUAAAGGCCUACCAUGGCGACGAUCCGUAGCUGGUCUGAGAGGACGACCAGCCACACUGGGACUGAGACACGGCCCAG